rnacentral:tRNA from 1 species
GCCUUCGUGGUGUAGUGGUAAGCACGCUGAGCCCAUACUCCAGAGGUCAGUGGUUCGAGUCCCGGCGAAGGCG